GUAGGUGGCGAGCGUUAUCCGGAUUCAUUGGGCGUAAAGAGCUUGUAGGUGGCGGCGUAAGUUGGACGUGAAAUCGCCCGGCUCAACCGGGCGGGGUCGUUCAAUACUGCGCGGCUGGAGGAGGUCAGAGGGAAGUGGAAUUCCUGGUGUAGCAGUGAAAUGCGUAGAUAUCAGGAGGAACACCCGUGGCGAAGGCGGCUUCCUGGGACCAUCCUGACACUGAGAAGCGAAAGCUAGGGGAGCGAACGGGAUUAGAAACCCCGGUAGUCCUAGCCGUAAACGAUGGACGCUAGGUGUGCGCAGAUCUAACCCUGCGCGUGCCGAAGCCAACGCGUUAAGCGUCCCGCCUGGGAACUACGAGCGCAAGCUUAAA
rnacentral:rRNA from 1 species